rnacentral:lncRNA from 1 species
CCUGAGAACCUGAAGUUACCUCAGAACCUACAUACAAGUCCAAAGGAAUGUAGGUUUGGGGUAACAAAUACUAAUUAGCUUGUAACUAGUUUUUGUUUGUUUAGAACUACAAGAUUAGUAAACAGAACAAUUUUAGUAAUCAUUAUGGUACAACUACCAAAGUCUUCCGAAUGAAAGCUCUUUAAACUUUUAAUUACUGAUUUUCAAUCACUGGUACGAAAACCUUCAAAGUCA